AACGAACGCUGGCGGCAUGCCUAACACAUGCAAGUCGAACGAGACCUUCGGGUCUAGUGGCGCACGGGUGCGUAACGCGUGGGAACCUGCCCUUAGGUUCGGAAUAACUCUCCGAAGGGGGUGCUAAUACCGGAUAAUUUCUGCGGACCAAAGAUUUAUCGCCUUUGGAUGGGCCCGCGUUGGCUUAGCUAGUUGGUAGGGUAAAAGCCUACCAAGGCGACGAUCCAUAGCGGGUCUGAGAGGAUGAUCCGCCACACUGGGACUGAGACGCGGCCCAGAAUCCUACGGGAAGCAGCAAUGGGGAAUAUUGGAAAAUGGGCGAAAGCCUGAUCCAGCUAUGCCGCGUGAGUGCUGAAGGCCUUAGGGUUGUAAAGCUCUUUUACCCGGGAUGAUAAUGACAGUACCGGGAGAAUAAGCUCCGGCUAACUCCGUG
rnacentral:rRNA from 1 species